AGUGAACGCUGGCGGUAGGCCUAACACAUGCAAGUCGAACGGCAGCACAGUAAGAGCUUGCUCUUACGGGUGGCGAGUGGCGGACGGGUGAGGAAUACAUCGGAAUCUACUUUUUCGUGGGGGAUAACGUAGGGAAACUUACGCUAAUACCGCAUACGACCUACGGGUGAAAGCAGGGGAUCUUCGUACCUUGCGCGAUUGAAUGAGCCGAUGUCGGAUUAGCUAGUUGGCGGGGUAAAGGCCCACCAAGGCGACGAUCCGUAGCUGGUCUGAGAGGAUGAUCAGCCACACUGGAACUGAGACACGGUCCAGACUCCUACGGGAGGCAGCAGUGGGGAAUAUUGGACAAUGGGCGCAAGCCUGAUCCAGCCAUACCGCGUGGGUGAAGAAGGCCUUCGGGUUGUAAAGCCCUUUUGUUGGGAAAGAAAAGCAGCAGGUUAAUACCCCGCUGUUCUGACGGUACCCAAAGUAUAAGCACCGGCUAACUUCGAG
rnacentral:rRNA from 1 species